UAGUUGGUUAAAGUCCAACCGUAGAAAUUGAUAGUUCAUCUAUGUAGCUAGAAAGAGAUGCAAAGAGUAAUCUGAAGCAUUAAGUUCUUUGACAAAGGCUAAUUAAGUUAGUCGAGCGAUUAUGCAGGUUGUAAUGUAA
rfam:Helicobacteraceae bacterium CG2_30_36_10 cg2_3.0_scaffold_3998_c, whole genome shotgun sequence.